UACGUAGGGUGCAAGCGUUAAUCGGAAUUACUGGGCGUAAAGCGUGCGCAGGCGGUGAUGUAAGACAGGUGUGAAAUCCCCGGGCUCAACCUGGGAACUGCCUUUGUGACUGCAUGACUAGAGUACGGUAGAGGGGGGAUGGAAUUCCGCGUGUAGCAGUGAAAUGCGUAGAUAUGCGGAGGAACACCGAUGGCGAAGGCAAUCCCCUGGACCUGUACUGACGCUCAUGCACGAAAGCGUGGGGAGCAAACAGG
rnacentral:rRNA from 1 species